GUGACCCCUGUGACCUCGACACUGUUCCCACACUGACCAAGCUCCUCAGGGGCAGAGCCAGCCAGGACCAGGGCACAGUCAGUGUUUCUUUUGCACAGCUGUUGGACAGUUUCCACGACUUGAACAAAAUGAUUGGCCAGAGAUAUAAGAGAGCCAAUGGUGUGUCUCGUGACCUGCUGCUGAAGACUUUACACUUGGAGCAACC